UACGAAGGGGGCUAGCGUUGCUCGGAAUUACUGGGCGUAAAGGGCGCGUAGGCGGACAGUUUAGUCAGAGGUGAAAGCCCAGGGCUCAACCUUGGAAUUGCCUUUGAUACUGGCUGUCUUGAGUUCGGGAGAGGUGAGUGGAAUGCCGAGUGUAGAGGUGAAAUUCGUAGAUAUUCGGCGGAACACCAGUGGCGAAGGCGACUCACUGGCCCGGUAUUGACGCUGAGGCGCGAAAGCCAGGGGAGCAAACGGG
rnacentral:rRNA from 1 species